AAGAGUAAAGUACUUCCGCUUCCUUAGGUGGAGCUGGAAAGGUGGAGGCGGAAGUGACUGAUCAAUUCAGGGGCGUGGGGUUCGUUUAGGUUUUGCCCUGUGUAUGACCUCGUUUGGAGCCAUGAAACCAGAGAACUUGAAUACAGCAAUCAACAGAUGUCACUAUUGACCUCUGAAAAUAAAGGAGGAAGAGGAGAAAGACAGUGUGGAGGUGGGAUUGGACAAAGGCAUGAUCCUUGGAGGAAAGGUUAUUUUAGGGCAAUGAUGGAAAGCACCAAGUGGAGUCUGGAGCUAGACUGAUCUGUGUUCAAUCCUGUCUUGGUUACUCAUUGGGGGGCCUCGACUUUCAUGUCUCUGUAAUGUCCCUGACAGUAUCUGCCUCACAGGGUUGCUGUGAGAGUCAAGCGAGAUGUCUGAGGAAUAGUCUUAGUGGAUUAUCCCAAACUUGACACAUUUUUUGCAAAAUGCUAUACAAAAAGAAGAUACAUGCGAUUAUGACAAGAUUCUCCACUUGGUGUGACCAGUCUCAUACAACCCAAGGCUGUGUGUCCAAAGGCAACUGUACUGAUCUUGACAAUAAUCAAAAGGUAGCCAGGUGCAUCGGGGAAAGCACUGACAUUGGAGUCAGACAGACUGAAGUUCAUAUCUGAUUCUGCUAUAUGACAACGUGUGGGCUAUGUGGCUAACUUCUCAGAGCUUCAGUUUUCUCAAGGGCAAAAUGAAAAUAAUAGAAAUAAUAGAAUCCACCUCACAGGGCUGUGGUGAGAAUUGGAGAUGAAGCACAUACAGCAUAUUACAUCAACUAAACACAUGCUAAGCACAUGACAGAAUUGCUCUGUUGAAGUUUUGCAAGGUCAAAUGACUCACUUUGUCUAAUGGAACGGGAACGAACAAUUUUUUUGUGUCACGUUUGAACAGAUACCUUUGAGAAGUUUAUGAUUCUCCAAGUUCUCUUUCUCCUACUGUGGCACCUACUGACAAGAUAAAUGUGUAGAGGUUCCUGAGUCUAGGGGUGAGUCUUGCAUAUCUGAUGAAUCCACCAGUAAAAGUACCACUGCUGAAAUCACGCAAAUAUAUUUUUUUAGACCUUAUCAACCUUGGCAUGGAAUUAGAUGAGCAAAAAGCUGAGUUGAAUUGAUGAAAAGAAUCCCAAGUCAUUAAUUACUAAUGAUGGAGCUUGUAAAGUACAGCAUCACUGGGGAAAGCAACUGACUUUCCUCAUACACAUUAUAUUUUUAUCUGAAUUUCAAUACUGCUUAAAUAUGUACUUCAUUACAGGGCACAACUAAAAUAGAAGGGCACCUGCUAAGUCAGAGCCAUAAAACAGAUCUACAGCCUGCUGGCAUGUGAAAUUUCUCUAAUUUAUAUUUUUUAUGAAACUACCCUCACAUUAUGUGGUUGGCAGCAUAAAUAAUAAAGCAUGUUACUGAAGCAAUUUUACAUUUACUGUAUUAGUAAGUAAAUGCAAUGGCCACUCUUAUUCUCAAAUAAAAACUACCCAGCCUUUUCAUGAAAGAUGUUUGCAAUUUCCAUUGGCCUGUAUAUGCAAUAAAAAGCCAUAACUCAUCAAAA
rnacentral:lncRNA from 1 species